rnacentral:rRNA from 1 species
CAGAGUACGUGAAACUGCUUAGAGGUUAAGCCCGAUGAACCUGAAUAUACAUUAUGGAAAAUUCAUCAUUAGAACUGUAAUAUCUAAAAGAAUAUUAUGGUAAUGGUGUGCAUUUUUUCCAUAUAAGUACAUUGUAAUCUAUUAGCAUAUGAUCCAAAUUUAUCAUAAGAUUAUUUAAUUAAAGUUUAUUCAAAUUAAUUUAUUUUAUUAUGAAUUAACAUAGAAUAAAUAUUGAAUGAUUUGAUAAAGUGUUGAUAGAUUUAAUAUUAUAUAGUGCUUAAAUUCUUUUUAAGAAUUUUACAAAUAUGAAAUGUAUAUAUAUAUUUUAUAUUUAUUGUAUGCACUUAUUUUAUAUGAUUAACAAUGCGAAAGAUUCAGGAUACCUUCGGGACCCGUCUUGAAACACGGACCAAGGAGUCUAACAUAUGUGCAAGUCAUUGGGAAUAUAAUAUAAACCCAAUGGCAUAAUUAACUUAACUUAAUAUUUUAUAUGGGAUUAGUUUUUAUAUAUUUUAUAUAUAUUAAUUCAAUCCCAGGGCGUUCUAUACAGUUAUGGUAUAAUAGUAUUUUUAAUAUUAUUUAUAUCCUCUAACUAGAGCGUACCUUGAGCAUAUAUGCUGUGACCCGA